UACGUAGGGUGCGAGCGUUGUCCGGAUUUACUGGGCGUAAAGAGCGCGCAGGCGGUCGUGUAAGUCGAAUGUGAAAGCCCCCGGCUCAACUGGGGAGGGUCAUUCGAUACUGCUCGACUCGAAGGCAGGAGAGGGAAGCGGAAUUCCCGGUGUAGUGGUGAAAUGCGUAGAUAUCGGGAGGAACACCAGUGGCGAAGGCGGCUUUCUGGCCUGUUCUUGACGCUGAGGCGCGAAAGCUAGGGGAGCAAACGGG
rnacentral:rRNA from 1 species